ACGAAAUAUGAAAUGACCUCUUCCCCUAUCGUUAAAGCGUGAGAUACAUUUUUAAAACCAGUGAUUUAAUUCCAAAUAUUUAGUACCUACAUUUUAACACAUGUUAUAAUUCCAAAAUGUUUACUAUUUCUUACAGAUAAAGGGUCCUGUUAGCCCCGACCUGUAACUGACAGUUAGACUUACAGGUUAUGUCGUUGUCUUUUGUUUGUAUUGUUUAUGUGUCCGCUGUGCGGGGAAAAUGAUAAUACAAGCGGAACUACGUAGCUAAUACUGUUGUAACGGGGAUCCUUAUUGUAGCAACACACUUUUGUAGGGAAGGCAAUCCUGCGCUGCGUUAGCUAAAUUUUCAUGUCAUCGGGUGUAGUUCAUAAAGGUUGAAGAGUGUAUGUUAGGAUGAAGUGUGAAUUCAUGCCAGGAAUAAUAAGUGUGAAGUUUGAUUUCCUCCCUUCUGUAAUAAGCAGCCAAUGAGAUCAAACGUCCUGCCUGUAAAUCCUGGGUAUGCCCACAUCAUUAAUGAAUAAGAUGUGUAGAAAACUGUUUAGCCAUAGUUAAAGGCCUUUCAUAAAGAGGCUGUCAUGAUUGCCUGUGCCUCAUGUUUAACACGUAUUGCUUGUUACCGAAUACUACUGUUGUACAUUUAAUAUCUACUAGCCGAUUUCGUCGCAUUUGCACAAAUUCUGUCAUGUUACUGUGGUCUUUUUAAAAGUCAAUAAAUAUGUGUGUAGAGUGUACAUGUUUGUUUCACUGUAGAUCUGUUUAAGACCUCCUAGAAACACCUAAUUUCAUCCCACAGCAUUAAUUAAUAAGCUGUGUAGAAGCUGUUUAGCCAUAAGUAAAGGCCUUUCAUAAAGCAGCUGUCAUGAUUGCAUGUCCCUUAUGUUUAACACGUAUUGCUUGUUACAGAAUACUACUGUUGUACAUUUAAUAUCCCCUAGCAGAUUUCGUUGCCUUUGCACAAAUUCUGUCAUGUUACUGUGGUCUUUUUAAAAGUCAAUAAAAAUGUGUGUAAAGUGUCCAUGUUUGUUUCACUGUAUAUUUGUUUAAGCCCUCCUAGAAACACCUAAUUAAAGGCCUUUCAUAAAGAGGCGGUCAUGAUUGCAUGUGCCUCAUGUUUAACACGUAUUGCUUGUUACAGAAUACUACUGUUGUACAUUUAAUAUCCCCUAGCAGAUUUCGUUGCCUUUGCACAAAUUCUGUCAUGUUACUGUGGUCUUUUUAAAAGUCAAUAAAUAUGUGUGUAAAGUGUA